UUGUAUAAAUAAUACAUAAUAUAGCAUACUUGAAUUAAAAUAUUAAUGUGGAGCAUGGCCAAAAAAUAAGAAGAGAAAAGAUGUGUAUAAAUCAAUUUAAUAUGAAAUAUGUUAGUGUGAAAUCAGGCCUUAUUCAUCCAAUUGACACUUCCUAUAGUCACACAUUAUAUGAAGUGUUAAUAGUAUACUUCUUUAUAAGUAGAUGUAUGUAUAUGAUAGAAAAGGUUGAAAACAUGAAUUUUUUGAGACAUUCUUAAUAUUAGUAUAAAUAGUUUAUCUGAAGUGGAAUAGUUAUUCAAUCUGGAACCACACUUGUACAGUUUUCAGAAGUUACACUCCAACGAUAUUUUGAAAAGUCUGGAAAAAGAAUUAUUUAAAAGGUAAUAUGUUAUUCUACUUGGUACAUAUAUGCAGAAUUACAGGAGUAAUUUAUAUUUCUUGUUGCCAUGCUUAUUUAAAGUACUUAUACCAGUCCAUUUUUUUCUUCAGUUUGAGCUGCAAGUUGAAGUGGGAAAAUGGUGUCACGUGUCAAGGCAAGCCAAAGAAGCAGUACUGGAUUUUCCCUGGAGAAUUUGAGUUGCAAGUUGAAGCAGGAAAAUGGUGUCAAGUGGUCAAUGCAAGCCAAAGAAGCAGUGCUGGAUUUUCCCUGGAAAAUCAUAUUUGCUGACCAUUGUUGAAGCUGUGGAUUUUCCCUGGGAAAGAAUGAAGAAUGUUUUCAAGAAGAGACUGUAUUCAUUUGUAGUUUUGAAGUGACGAAAGAAUAACAAAUUGAGACAGAAGACAAAAGAUGUUGAAUGUGACAGCUGUAAAUGCUGGAAAUUUAAGUAGCAGGCUACAAGACCGAUUUCCAAACCAAAUGAUAGGCACUGAAAUACCCAUGGAUGAAGAAUCAGAAGGCUUAAUCAAUGGAUGGUGAAAAUUGUCACAUGCUGUAGAUAUAAUCCCUCACACCACCAGCACCAACUCUGACAGAUGGUAUCUCAACAUACAAUAGAUCCAGGGUGAUACAUCAUAGAUUAGAUAUAGCUGGUCAAAUCAUACAAGAAUGUUGAGACAUCGAUAGUUGGUUUCUAUAAUAAUGUCUGCAGCCAGAGUUCGGAGAAACGGAUCAGCUCAAAGAACAUUGGAGGGGUCUGAUGACAAUAUCGAUAUAGGUUUUGAAGAAGAUGAUAAAGGAAAAUUGGCAGAGGUAAAGGAGACAAAUGAUGGUGCGAAAAGUAGAAAUAUCACAAGUUAACAGUCAAUAAGGGAAAUGACUCCAGCCAGUAACUCAACAAGUCGUGAGCUUGCAAGAUAUGUCACAGAAAGGCGGGUUUAUGUAGCUGCUGCAGAUUAACCCAGUCUUGCUGAAACCAGAAGUUGUGAUCUACAACGUGAUUCUACAACUGCCAAGGAACUUCGGCAGAAGAGCUGGUAUAUAGGGGAGUGGAGGGAGCAGAUUGCAGUACAGUCAAACCUGUCUAUAAAGACCACCCUUGGGAGAGUCAAAAUGUGGUCUUUAUUGGGAGGUGGUCAUUAUUCACAGGUUAAAAUAUACUGUAAAAUUUAAUGUAAAAAUGGGAAACAAAACAUGUGUUCUUUAGAGCCAUGUUGUCUCUGUUCAGAGGUGGUCUUUAACUCCGGUUUGACAAUAUACAUCUCAGUGGGAGUGGAACAGGCAGAUUUCAAUACAAACUACAUCAGUGGGAAAAGCGCAAUGAAGUUCAGCUGUUUCCAGCUUGAAACACAUGCGUAUGCAAUUUGGAAAUCUUGAAAGUUAUAUGCAGUUGGGGAUAUCGUCAGUUGUAUGCAGUCAGGAGAUCAUGACAGUUGUAUGCAGUCAGGAGAUCAUGACAGUUGUAUGCAAUCCGGGGAUCUUGACAGUUGUAUGCAGUCAGGAGAUCAUGACAGUACUUUGCAGUCCAGGGAUCUUGACAGUUGUAUGCAGUCAGGAGAUCACGACAGUACUUUGCAGUCCAGGGAUCUUGACAGUUGUAUGCAGUCAGGAGAUCUUGGAUCUUGGAUCUUUUUGUACUGUUGACAUUCUCAAGAUUCUGUCUUAAAAAAAACUUACUUGGACAGCUUAAAAGCUUCUCUAUAACUUGCCUGUGCCAUUCUUAAGUAGAAGACAUGUGUAUGAAUAUUUAGUUCUGGCAUGCCAUACUUGAGCAAUUGAGUUUUGGAAAGGUGGCAAUUUGAAUGUUUACAGUGGUCUCUGUAAACUAUUAUUAGGCAACUGGUUCAGCUGGCCGGUCAGGGACGUCCAAUGCCCAGACUGCUGGUGCCGCAAACCCCACUGACGGGACAACUAGUUUGGCUGGCUGGUCCAGGUCCUCACAGACCCAGACAGCUGGUUCUGCAAACCCCAUGGAUGUCGGCAGGAAUGGAGUUCACUAUAUGGAGUGAGAAGAAACUGAAAUUACAAAACUGUUUUGAUUAGAGAUGACAACCGCACUGACAGGACAACGGGUUCGGCUGGUGGUCUGGGUUGUCCAGUGCCCAGACUGCUGGUGCUGCGAACCCAAAUGACAGGACAACAGGUUCGGCUGGCCGGUUUGGGUCCUCACAGACCCAGACUGCUGGUGCCGCGAACCCUACAGAUGUCAAUAGAAAUGGACAUGGUUUGCACAGGCCAUGAAAAAUCCUUGAAUUUGAUGCCUACUUCUUGAAAAGUACUUGUAUUUUGUAACAGUCAGAAACUACUUGAAAACUACUUGAAUUUAGGAAAAAACGUACAAAAGAUGGCAAAUAGUCCUUAAAUUCAUCGGAUGCGAAGUAAAAACGGACAAACAUUAUACAUAAACCAAAAUAAACUAAAAAACGAUGAAAAAAAAAACAAACGUUACCGCCAUUAGGGCCUGCCAUGGAGUCAAUGAUAGUACGGUACGGUACUGUACUUUACGGGUUUUAUGCUCUUUCAAGUAAUUUUCACAUUGUAAUUUAUCCGCGAUGCGUUGAAGGUAAAUCUUGUGUUACAUUGUUUAAUUUUGUCCUAAAUUGGAUUUAAAUUGGUUAUUUCAUGUCUCAGCAACAGUGACAUUGCGCCCAUUUUAGUCCUUGAAAAUGGAGAAAAACUACUUGAAAACUCCUUGAAAACUACUUGAAUUGUUUUUUGGAAGGUCUGUAUGAACAUCGAUGGAGUUCACCAUAUGGAGUCGAAAGAAACUGAAAGCACAAAAGUUUUUGAUUAGUGAUGACAACCGCACUGACAGGAGAACUGGUUUGGCUGGCCGGUCUUGGGUGUCAAAUGCCCAGACUGCUGGUGCCGCGAACCCCACCGACAGAACAACUGGUUUGGCUGGCCGGUUUGGGUCCUCACAGACCCAGACUGCUGGUGCCGCAAACCCCAUGGAUGUCCGCGGCUCUCAUCUGGUGGAAGAAACGGCUACAAGUAGUGAGCAGCAUAGAAACAAGCAUUCUAGAAAACGAGAAUGUGAUUCCAAUCGUGACCAGGUUGGUGACCUUGAUGGUGGUCAUUGGGAUACGUAGGAUUUGAUAAACAGGCGGGGAACUGCAGAAAGGGCAUGAAUAAAGGACAGGGCGGGUAUCUUGGAAGAGGCGCAUUUGAUAAACAGGGCGGGAGUGAUAGUUCUGUGAGAUAUUGUUCUGGAGAUUGCAGUGGGCGUGAUUCUUAUCACCCGCACCCUGGGAGUUCAGUAGUAGAGGUUGACAGAGCAGAUUUCAGAGAUGAUAGGAAGACAGACAGAGCACAGACACAGAGACGAUAGCCGUCGAAGCCACCAGCGUCUUGACUGAGACUUUUAUAAUUAUUGUAAUAAAACUUGGUUGAAUUUGUGAAUGGAUGGAACACAAAUGGUCUCUCAGAUAAUUUUAUUUUUAGAGCAAAUUUUAUUGAUAAACUUCAUUUUGAUGUGAUUGUUAUUUCAGAAACACACCUAACAGGUGAUAAGAUAAUUGAACUGUCUAUGUAUUUCAUGGAUACAAUAGAAAAAAUAUAUUCACAUAAAUGCACAAACUGGUUCAGGUGGAGUUUCUAGGAGUUUGUAUUUUUGUAAAAAGGUCAUUUGCAGAACAUUUUAGUAUUGAAAUUUUAGACAUAAGCUAUGAGGGAAUUUUAUGGUUAAGUUUUAAAUCUAAAAAAGUUUUGAGAACAUUUUUACUGUUUGUGCUUGCUUUUUGCCACAAAUGGGAUCUUCUUCAUAUGUGGAGAUCAUGAUCAUUUUGACCAACAGUUAAGUAAUAUGUAUGAAUAUCAGAAAUUUGGUAAAUUGUUUAUUCAUCAGUAGAUCAGGUGUAAGAGAUAACUGGCAAAGUUCUGUACCAUUUGAAUUUGUAGAUGAUUCUGAGAUUUGUACUUCUAGCCCUGUUUUAGUUUUAAAUAUGUGGAAAACAGACUUCUAUAACUUACACUGAAUACUGACAUGUUUAUUGAUGGAUUACAAAUAAGGCGUAAAAAAAAAAAAUUGUUUGUUUCCGGUAUCCCGACCUACCCUAAAUUUUUGGCCCGACCCUAAAUGUUUUUAUGGCCUUGGAGAAUAUUUUUUUCAA
rnacentral:lncRNA from 1 species